UCCAUAUUCUAUUUCUCUUUUUCCCAUUUCAACCCUCCUACUCUCCUACGCUCCUCCUGACCUCUUGGUUCUCCAUUCUUUUAAAAUCAAAGGAAACCAUUUCUUUCCCCUUCUUUAACUCUCUGUCUGUAUCUCUCGAAUUCCCAAAAAAGCCAAACAACAAAGAUGGAAGAGAGAAGGACACAGAAAAUAGUGUGUGAAGACAGUGAGAGUCAGUCAUUUCCGUAGAACAAAAAAGUGAAAAACAACAUAGAGGGUCUCCCUCUCGCUCUGUCUGUGCCUCUCUGGCUUUCUCCCUUGCGUCCUUACUUCCUAGUUCUUGUUGGGUUUUCAGACUCUUCACCUAUUCUGCAGCAAUGGCUCGACAAGACUUGUCUUCCUCCUCUAUCUUAAUCCCCUUUUCUUCUUCUUCUUCCUCUUCCUCUUCCUCCAUUUCCCGCGAUGACCAAACUGCCCUUUCUCUGGUAGAGGACAUCUCUGUUGUGAGCGGAAGGCCCUUUUGGUGCGUCUUCAGAUGAGGCGUACAAUGUAGUUCUGUACAAUCCCCUCAUCAUAUAGAGUAGGAAAGGCACGCAGGAUGGAGCCAGGCAGUAGAACUUUCUUAGAUUUUCCUUUUAUACACAUAAGUACCAACCCCUCAACCCCACCCCACCCCACCCCACAUCACCUCACUUCACCUCCAUCUCCCUUUUUGUUCUUUCCAUUGCAGUCCCUUUUUUCCCCUACUUUAUUUUCAGAAGUAAAAAGAAAGAAGAAGAAGAAGAAGAAGAAGGAGAAGCAGCAGCUGGAGAAGGGUCGUCAUCGAACAUUGAUCAUCGUCGGUGGAAAUAACGCAGCGUGUAUGGUGUAAAUCGUAAUGGGUCUACCCAAUAUGGUGAUAUUUCCAACCAAUUGGAAUCACAAAAUAUAUUGCUAUCAGACCUCCUAUGUCAAAGCUGUUGGCUGCUUAUUGCCCAAUCCAGGGGGGGAAGUUGCAGUUGAUAAACCCUUAACACAUUAUGCUCCAGAUGCAUCUGCUAUGAAUUUUAGAUUCUUUACACUGGAAUCAGUGACAGAGUAUUUUCACUGGACAUGUUAGGACUUCAUUUGGCCUAUGUCCUUUGCUAUUCAACCUAUUUCCACUUUGUAGCCUCCCGAACGUAGAUCUUCUUGUAUGUCAACAUUUUAUGCAAUGAAUCAGUUGGAUAUUCUCGACCUUCU